GGCUGAACCGGGAAAUGUGGCAAAAUUUUCGGAGGAUUGGUGGGAAGGGGUGAAAGAGUUAUCAAACAAAGAGAUAGCUGGUUUUCCGCGAAAAUUAUUUAAGUAAUGCGUUUAAAUAAAAAAAAAAAGACAAUUAGUUUUAAACUGUCGAUUGGUAGGCACUUAAAAAAUUUAAUAAUAUUUUUUUUUUAAAUAAACAGUUAGUCUAUCAGCGCAAAGGUUGAUAGACGAGAGGGACACAGCCCAGAUUAUUUAUUAAGGUUCAAAAGUAUUUAUUAAUACAAAAGAUAAAAAUUUAUAAAAUUAAAAAGGUCGGCGUGGAGGCUGUCAUCCUUUCAAAAAAGCGUCACAGCUUAUUUAAUAAAAAUAAAUUUUUAUUAACAAUUUUGAUAUAAAUAAAUCACCGAAAUAAUAAAUUAAUGGUAGCGGAAUGUUUUGUAUAUCAUAAAAGUAAUAUUGAAAAAUAUUAUGGAGAUAUCAAAAGUAAGUAUGUCGGUAUUAGUAAUCAUAUAAUGUUGAAUCAUUGUUGUUGAAUGUCUAAGAGUUUUAAUGAAAGAAUGAAUCUCAUUAAGUUAUACGAUCCCUAAGAAGAAAAUUAAAAUUUUAUUUGAUGGAGGUUCUGAUUUGACAUUUUUGAAAAAAAUCAAGAAAUAAAUCAGAAUUUUAUCGUAUUAAAUCUGACACUAGUAGACAGGUUGAAUAAACUAAAACAACGAGAGAAUAAUAUUGAAGGAACUCGGCAAAUUUAUUCUGUAACUUCGGGAAAAAGAAUACUUUUUUAUAAUAAAAUAUAAGAAAGUGACAUUAAAGAGAGGGCGACGACUGUUUAAUAAAAACACAGGACUUUGCUAAUUCGAAAGAAGACGUAUAAGGUCUGACUCCUGCCCGGUGCUGCAAAAUGAAAAAAUUAAUCUUUUUUACUUCUAAAUUCCAGUAAACGGCGGCUGUAACUCUGAC
rnacentral:rRNA from 1 species